CAAAAUCCUCUGAAAUCAGCUGCAUGGAUAAGGCAGAAAAUGGAUAUACAUUUGGUUUCUUCCGUAGGCACAAACAUUGUUUCAGCUUUGGUAUGUUACAAAAUGACAUUCCUGGAUGUCCUGGAUGAAUUAUAGAGAAUGUAAAGCUUCUUGAGUCGAUACCAGAGUCGAUACUGUCUAAAAAUGUUCAGCAUUCCAAACAU